AUUGAACGCUGGCGGCAGGCCUAACACAUGCAAGUCGAACGAGUGGCGGACGGGUGAGUAAUGUCUGGGAAACUGCCUGAUGGAGGGGGAUAACUACUGGAAACGGUAGCUAAUACCGCAUACCAUCAGAUGUGCCCAGAUGGGAUUAGCUGGUUGGUGGGGUAACGGCUCACCAAGGCUACGAUGCCUAGCUGGUCUGAGAGGAUGACCAGCCACACUGGAACUGAGACACGGUCCCGCCUCCUACGGGAGGCAGCAGUGGGGAAUUUUGCACAAUGGGCGCAAGCCUGAUGCAGCCCUGCCGCGUGUAUGAAGAAGGCCUUCGGGUUGUAAAGUCAUUUCAGUGGCGAGGCGUUACCCGCAGAAGAAGCACCGGCUAACUCCGUGCCAGCAGCCGCGGUAAUUC
rnacentral:rRNA from 1 species